rnacentral:rRNA from 1 species
AUGGAACGCUAGAGGGAUGCUUUACCCAUGCAAGUCGAACGAGUGGCGGACGGGUGGGUAAUAUCUCGGAACGUGCCAAGUAGCCGGGGAUAACUACACGAAAGAGUGGCUAAUACCGCAUACUAUUGGCUCGGCCGUUAUCGGAUUAGCUAGUUGGUGGGGGAAAGGCUCACCAAGGCAACGAUCCGUAGCUGGUUGGAGAGGACGACCAGGCACACUGGGACUGAGACAGGGCCCAGACUCCUACGGGAGGCAGCAGUGGGGAAUGUUUGAAAAUGGGGGAAACCCUGAUCCAGCCAUCCCGCGUGUAUGAGAAGGCCUUCGGGUUGUAAAGUACUUUUGGCAGAGAAGCGGUAUCUGCAGAAUAAGCACCGGCUAACUACGGGCCAGCAGCCGCGGUAAUAC